UACGUAGGGUGCGAGCGUUGUCCGGAAUUACUGGGCGUAAAGAGCGCGCAGGCGGUCGUUCAAGUCGCGUGUGAAAGCCCCCGGCUCAACUGGGGAGGGUCACGCGAUACUGAUCGACUCGAAGGCAGGAGAGGGUAGUGGAAUUCCCGGUGUAGUGGUGAAAUGCGUAGAUAUCGGGAGGAACACCAGUGGCGAAGGCGACUACCUGGCCUGUUCUUGACGCUGAGGCGCGAAAGCUAGGGGAGCAAACGGGG
rnacentral:rRNA from 1 species